AUGUUCAACUUCCUCAAGAAAGGAACCCCAUUUCUCUGGACGCAAGCGACUGGGGAGUCAUUCCAACUGCUGAAACAAGGCCUUGUUACUGCUCCUGUACUUGCCCUGUCGGACUUCUCAAAGCCUUUUAUCGUCGAAACAGAUGCAUGCGACGCUGGCGUUGGGGCAAUCCUGCAGCAACAGGGGCACCCAAUUGCCUAUAUGAGCAAAGCACUAUCACCAAAGUAUAGGGGGUUGUCCACCUAUGAAAAGGAAUAUCUGGCAGUGGUAGUGGCCGUAGACCAAUGUCGCCCAUAUCUCCAACAUAGUGAAUUCGUCAUACAGACUGAUCAGAAGAGCCUGGUGCAUUUAGAAGAACAAAGACUCACGACCCCUGGCAGUAACAAGCAUUUACUAAGCUUCUCUGUCUUCGCUACACCAUCAAGUACAGAAAAGGGACAGAAAAUGGGGGUGCGGAUGCUCUUUCAUGUGCCACCCAUGCUGAGCAAUUGCAAACCAUAUCCUCUUGUCAGCCCAGUUGGAUGGAAGACAUCAUUGCCAGCUACAAUUCAAACCCACAAGCUCAGAAACUGCUGGAACAGUUAG
rnacentral:rRNA from 1 species